rnacentral:lncRNA from 1 species
UUUCAUCUUCCCUCUUAAUUAGUUAACCUUUCCUUCCUCUGCAGCCCCAACUUGUGAACUUGAUUGUGCUUGAUCUCUCCCAGUGCCAAAAUCUAAUUGCUAUUCCAAACAUAUCAACUUCUUCAAAGCUUGAAGAACUUCUUCUCAAGGGAUGCAAAAGCCUAGUUGAGGUACCUUUUGAUGUUCAAUAUUUGACAAAGCUGAUAACGUUGGACCUUAGUGGAUGUCCAAAACUCAAGUGUCUUCCGCGGUACGGCGGUGGCGGCGGGUUUGAAACGCAGUAUCAUGUGAUGAGGGAUACAAC